AACGAACGUUGGCGGCGUGGAUUAGGCAUGCAAGUCGGGGGUGCCAGCAAUGGCAACCGGCGUAAGGGGCAGUAAGGCAUGGGUACCUACCCUGGGGUUCGGGAUAGCCUUCAGAGAUGGAGGGUAAUACCGGAUGAUCUGGUGACAGCAAAGAUUUAUCGCCCUGGGAGGGGCCCAUGUGAUAUUAGCUAGUUGGCGGGGUAAUGGCCCACCAAGGCUUAGAUGUCUAGCGGGUGGAGAGCACGACCCGCGCCACUCGCACUGAGACACUGGCGAGACACCUACGGGUGGCUGCAGUCGAGGAUCUUCGGCAAUGGGGCAACCCUGACCGAGCGACGCCGCGUGUGCGAUGAAGGCCUU
rnacentral:rRNA from 1 species